UACAGAAUGAAAAGUGCUUAACUGCAUUUUUUCUUACACAUGUGUUUUUCUUUUUUUGAAAACUUUGCUUUGGUAGGCCUUCUAUAUGGGGCCUGCCAGAGAUUAAACUCAACCAAAUUUUAUUUAAUGUCAACCGAUUAUUUAAUAGUCAAAACUUUCAACAACGGAUCUCUUGGUUCUCGCAUCGAUGAAGAACGCAGCGAAAUGCGAUAAGUAAUAUGAAUUGCAGAUAUUCGUGAAUCAUCGAAUCUUUGAACGCACAUUGCGCCCUUUGGUAUUCCAAAGGGCAUGCCUGUUUGAGCGUCAUUUCUCCCUCAAACCCUCGGGUUUGGUGUUGAGCGAUACGCUGGGUUUGCUUGAAAGAAAGGCGGAGUAUAAACUAAUGGAUAGGUUUUUUCCACUCAUUGGUACAAACUCCAAAACUUCUUCCAAAUUCGACCUCAAAUCAGGUAGGACUACCCGCUGAACUUAAGCAUAUCAAUAAGCGGAGGAA
rnacentral:rRNA from 1 species